GGAUAUGAGUAGAGCGGCGGACCGUUUGAGUAACGCGUAGGAAUCUACCUAGUAGAAGGGGAUAGCCCGGGGAAACUCGGAUUAAUACCGUAUACCUCCUUCGGGAGAAAGAAGGCCUCUCUUUGAAGCUUUCGCUACUAGAUGAGCCUGCGUAAGAUUAGCUUGUUGGUGAGGUAAAGGCUCACCAAGGCGACGAUCUUUAGCGGGUCUGAGAGGACGAUCCGCCACAUUGGGACUGAGACACGGCCCAGACUCCUACGGGAGGCAGCAGUGGGGAAUAUUGGACAAUGGGCGCAAGCCUGAUCCAGCCAUACCGCGUGUGUGAAGAAGGCCCUAGGGUUGUAAAGCACUUUAAGUUGGGAAGAAAAGUUAUUGGUUAAUACCCAAUAGCCGUGACAUUACCAUCAGAAUAAGGACCGGCUAAUUCCGUGCCAGCAGCCGCGGUAAUACGGAAGGUCCAAGCGUUAAUCGGAAUUACUGGGCGUAAAGCGCGCGUAGGUGGUUUAUUAAGUUGGAUGUGAAAUCCCCGGGCUCAACCUGGGAACUGCAUCCAAAACUGAUUCACCAGAGUACGAUAGAGGGAGGUAGAAUUCACAGUGUAGCGGUGGAAUGCGUAGAUAUUGUGAAGAAUACCAAUGGCGAAGGCAGCCUCCUGGAUCUGUACUGACACUGAGGUGCGAAAGCGUGGGUAGCGAACAGGAUUAGAUACCCUGGUAG
rnacentral:rRNA from 1 species